rnacentral:rRNA from 1 species
CUUGGUCAUUUAGAGGAAGUAAAAGUCGUAACAAGGUCUCCGUUGGUGAACCAGCGGAGGGAUCAUUACCGAGUGAAAACUCCCAAACCCCAUGUGAACCUUACCUAUCGUUGCUUCGGCGGAGUCGCCCCGGCGCCCUCGGGCCCGGAUCCAGGCGCCCGCCGGAGACCCCAAACCCUCAUGUUUUUAGUGGUUUUCUCCUCUGAGUGACACAUAAACAAAUAAAUAAAAACUUUCAACAACGGAUCUCUUGGCUCUGGCAUCGAUGAAGAACGCAGCGAAAUGCGAUAAGUAAUGUGAAUUGCAGAAUUCAGUGAAUCAUCGAAUCUUUGAACGCACAUUGCGCCCGCCAGUAUUCUGGCGGGCAUGCCUGUUCGAGCGUCAUUUCAACCCUCAGGCCCCCAGUGCCUGGCGUUGGGGAUCGGCGUAGCGCCCUCGCGGGCGCCGCCGGCCCCGAAACACAGUGGCGGUCUCGCUGUAGCCCUCCUCCGCGUAGUAGCACAACCUCGCGGCCUGGAGCUCGGCGGUGGCCAUGCCGUAAAACACCCCACUUCUGAAAGUUGACCUCGGAUCAGGUAGGAAUACCCGCUGAACUUAAGCAUAUCAAUAAGCGGAGGA